rnacentral:rRNA from 1 species
UACGUAGGGGCCUAGCGUUGUCCGGAUUUAUUGGGCGUAAAGAGCUCGUAGGCGGUUUGGUAAGUCGGGUGUGAAAUCUCCACGCUCAACGUGGAGGGGCCACCCGAUACUGCCAUGACUGGAGUCCGGUAGGGGAGUGUGGAAUUCCCGGUGUAGCGGUGAAAUGCGCAGAUAUCGGGAGGAACACCAGUGGCGAAAGCGGCUUCCUGGUCCAGCACCGACGUUCAGGCACGAAAGCGUGGGGAGCAAACAGG